CGACCCCCAUUAGGUUAAAGUACACAGAGCGUAAGCGAGAGAUCCCUCCGCCACAGCCAUUCUUUCCAUUUGUUGCCUCACGGUAUGCAAAAAAGUCCCGCGAAAUCGGUUAUCAACUUUAGGGCCCAGAGGAAAACUGCAGUGGUGCACAGAUAAGACUGAAUGGCGAACGCCAGGGCUGGAAGUGCCUAUUGGAUUGCUCUUCAAGUGCGUAGGCUGUCGACCGAAGAUGAGCCUUCCACUUGGCGGAAGAAUCUCACAGGAAAGGGGGUCCAUUUUCAGCAUAAUGGAUAUGACCAGGCGUGGCUGAGAGGAACCAGAGAUACCAGGCAGACCUGUGAGAUCAGCAAAUGUGCCAGGCCAACUUAGUAGAUUUCACAUGCUCCUGGGCACUACUCAACAGAUUGAAAAAAUAACAAUAAGAGAAACCAAUGACCCUCCCGAAAUGAAUGCCUCUCUGGCCGUAGAGAGCUCGCUGUGCAUCAGCUGAGGCCCGUGGAUUUAACAGACUCCGAGCUUGGGACGCGGCGUGUCGGGAGGAAGCCCGGAAGGAGGCAGUACCGGAACUACAUAUGGAGGCGAGUGGUGCGAGCGCACGAGGGAUUAUUUUGUGCUGAUGUUCACGUUCUUGGUUCUUAUGCUCCUGAAAACAAUGCCUUCAGCGUGCA